rnacentral:tRNA from 1 species
GCCUUUGUGUUGUAAUGGUCAGCAUACUCAGCCCUUAUUCGAGAGGUUCAAGGUUCGAGUCCCGGCGAGGGCA